rnacentral:rRNA from 1 species
GCAAGGCCUUGCGCUCUUUGAGCGGCCGAUGUCAGAUUAGCUAGUUGGUGAGGUAAAGGCUUACCAAGGCGACGAUCUGUAGCGGGUCUGAGAGGAUGAUCCGCCACACUGGAACUGAGACACGGUCAGACUCCUACGGGAGGCAGCAGUGGGGAAUUUUGGACAAUGGGGGCAACCCUGAUCCAGCCAUGCCGCGUGAGUGAAGAAGGCCUUCGGGUUGUAAAGCUCUUUCGGCCGGGGAGAAAUCGCAUGGGCCAAUACCCUGUGUGGAUGACGGUACCGGAAUAAGAAGCACCGGCUAACUACGUGCCAGCAGCCGCGGUAAUACGUAGGGUGCGAGCGUUAAUCGGAAUUACUGGGCGUAAAGCGUGCGCAGGCGGUUUUGUAAGACAGGCGUGAAAUCCCCGGGCUUAACCUGGGAACUGCGUUUGUGACUGCAAGGCUAGAGUACGGCAGAGGGGGGUGGAAUUCCACGUGUAGCAGUAAAUGCGUAGAGAUGUGGAGGAACACCAAUGGCGAAGGCAGCCCCCUGGGUCGAUACUGACGCUCAUGCACGAAAGCGUGGGUAGCAAACAGGAUUAGAUACCCUGGUAGUCCACGCCCUAAACUAUGUCAACUAGGUGUUGGGUGGGUAAAACCAUUUAGUACCGUAGCUAACGCGUGAAGUUGACCGCCUGGGGAGUACGGCCGCAAGGUUAAAACUCAAAGGAAUUGACGGGGACCCGCACAAGCGGUGGAUGAUGUGGAUUAAUUCGAUGCAACGCGAAAAACCUUACCUACCCUUGACAUGCCAGGAACUUGCCAGAGAUGGCUUGGUGCCCGAAAGGGAGCCUGGACACAGGUGCUGCAUGGCUGUCGUCAGCUCGUGUCGUGAGAUGUUGGGUUAAGUCCCGCAACGAGCGCAACCCUUGUCGUUAAUUGCCAUCAUUUAGUUGGGCACUUUAACGAGACUGCCGGUGACAAACCGGAGGAAGGUGGGGAUGACGUCAAGUCCUCAUGGCCCUUAUGGGUAGGGCUUCACACGUCAUACAAUGGUCGGUACAAAGGGUUGCCAAGCCGCGAGGCGGAGCCAAUCCCAGAAAGCCGAUCGUAGUCCGGAUUGCAGGCUGCAACUCGCCUGCAUGAAGUCGGAAUCGCUAGUAAUCGUGGAUCAGCAUGUCACGGUGAAUACGUUCCCGGGUCUUGCACACACCGCCCGUCACACCAUGGGAGCGGGUUCCGCCAGAAGUAGGUAGCCUAACCGCAAGGGGGGCGCUUACCACGGCGGGGUUCGUGACUGGGGUGAAGUCGUAACAAGGUA